CUAUGGUCGCGUUAGGGAUAGGAGCGUUAUCCUUUUUAUUUUUUUCUAAUAAAAAGAUAUAGCGGAUAGCCCGACCAAAG
rnacentral:sRNA from 1 species